rnacentral:rRNA from 1 species
UACAGAGGGUGCAAGCGUUAAUCGGAAUUACUGGGCGUAAAGCGCGCGUAGGCGGCUCUGCAAGCCGGAUGUGAAAUCCCCGGGCUCAACCUGGGAACUGCAUUCGGGACUGCAUUGCUAGAGUAUGGGAGAGGGAAGUGGAAUUUCAGGUGUAGCGGUGAAAUGCGUAGAUAUCUGAAGGAACAUCAGUGGCGAAAGCGACUUCCUGGACCAAUACUGACGCUCAUGUGCGAAAGCGUGGGGAGCAAACAGG